AACGCGUAUGCAACCUACCUUUUACAGAGGGAUACCCAAAAGAAAUUUUGAAUAAUACCUCAUAAGCUCUAUUUAUAGCAUUUUAUAUAGAGGAAAACUCCGGUGGUAAAAGAUGGGCAUGCGUCCUAUUAGUUUGUUGGUAAGGUAACGGCUUACCAAGACUACGAUAGGUAGGGGUCCUGAGAGGGAGAUCCCCCACACUGGUACUGAGACACGGACCAGACUCCUACGGGAGGCAGCAGUAAGGAAUAUUGGACAAUGGAGGAAACUCUGAUCCAGCCAUGCAGCGUGCAGGAAGACGGCCCUAUGGGUUGUAAACUGCUUUUAUAUAGGAAGAAAUCUAUCUACGUGUAGAUAGUUGACGGUACUGUACGAAUAAGGAUCGGCUAACUCCGUGCCAGCAGCCGCGGUAAUACGGAGGAUCCAAGCGUUAUCCGGAAUCAUUGGGUUUAAAGGGUCCGCAGGCGGUCUAUUAAGUCAGAGGUGAAAUCCUGCCGCUCAACGGUAGAAUGGCCUUUGAUACUGAUAGACUUGAGUUAUUGUGAAGUAGUUAGAAUGUGUAGUGUAGCGGUGAAAUGCAUAGAUAUUACACAGAAUACCAAUU
rnacentral:rRNA from 1 species